rnacentral:miRNA from 1 species
UGGGUUGACCAAAAAGUUCGUUCGGGUUUUUCGUAAGAUGUUACGGAAAAACCCAAACAAACUGUUUUGGCUAACCCA